rnacentral:rRNA from 1 species
GAUGAACGCUAGCGGCAGGCCUAACACAUGCAAGUCGAGGGGUAGCAGGCUUAAGCUUGCUUAAUUGCUUACGACCGGCGCACGGGUGCGUAACGCGCAUGCUACCUACCUUAUACUGGGGUAUAGCGCGGAGAAAUUCGGAUUAAUCACCCAUAGUACUAAUGAAUCGCAUGGUCUAUUUGUUAAAGCUUUGCGGUAUAAGAUGGGCAUGCGUCCUAUUAGCUAGAUGGUGAGGUAACGGCUCACCAUGGCUACGAUAGGUAGGGGGCCUGAGAGGGUGGUCCCCCACACUGGUACUGAGACACGGACCAGACUCCUACGGGAGGCAGCAGUGAGGAAUAUUGGUCAAUGGGCGCAAGCCUGAACCAGCCAUGCCGCGUGCAGGAAGAAUGCCCUAUGGGUUGUAAACUGCUUUUAUUUGGGAAUAAACCUCUUUACGUGUAGAGAGCUGAAGGUACCAAAUGAAUAAGCACCGGCUAACUCCGUGCCAGCCGCCGCUGUAA